rnacentral:tRNA from 1 species
GGCCAGGUAGCUCAGUGGUAGAGCGAAGGAUUGCAGUCUUCAAUUGCAACAUAUCCUUAGGUCACGUGUUCGAUCCACGUUCGGGCCU